rnacentral:rRNA from 1 species
AUUGAACGCUGGCGGCAGGCCUAACACAUGCAAGUCGAGCGGGUGAAGGGAGCUUGCUCCUGGAUUCAGCGGCGGACGGGUGAGUAAUGCCUAGGAAUCUGCCUUGUAGUUGGGGAUAACGUCCGUAAACGGGCGCUAAUACCGCAUACGUCCUGAUGUAGAAAGUGGGGGAUCUUCGGACCUCACGCUAUCAGAUGAGCCUAGGUCGGAUUAGCUAGUUGGUGGGGUAAAGGCCUACCAAGGCGACGAUCCGUAACUGGUCUGAGAGGAUGAUCAGUCACACUGGAACUGAGACACGGUCCAGACUCCUACGGGAGGCAGCAGUGGGGAAUAUUGGACAAUGGGCGAAAGCCUGAUCCAGCCAUGCCGCGUGUGUGAAGAAGGUCUUCGGAUUGUAAAGCACUUUAAGUUGGGAGGAAGGGAAGUAAGUUAAUACCUUGCUGUUUUGACGGUACCAACAGAAUAAGCACCGGCUAACUUCGUG